rnacentral:tRNA from 1 species
GCCUACUGGUCUACUGUUUAGCGCUUCGGACUUGUAACCGGAGGGUUGCCGGUUCGAACCCCGACCAGUAGGCA